rnacentral:rRNA from 1 species
GAGUUUGAUCCUGGCUCAGGAUGAACGCUGGCGGCGUGCCUAACACAUGCAAGUCGAACGAAGCAAUCGGGAUGAAGUUUUCGGAUGGAUUCCUGGUUGACUGAGUGGCGGACGGGUGAGUAACGCGUGGAUAACCUGCCUCACACUGGGGGAUAACAGUUAGAAAUGGCUGCUAAUACCGCAUAAGCGCACAGUACCGCAUGGUACGGUGUGAAAAACCCAGGUGGUGUGAGAUGGAUCCGCGUCUGAUUAGCCAGUUGGCGGGUAACGGCCACCAAAGCGACGAUCAGUAGCCGACCUGAGAGGGUGACCGGCCACAUUGGGACUGAGACACGGCCCAAACUCCUACGGGAGCAG